AGCAGCCGCGGUAAUUCCAGCUCCAAUAGCGUAUAUUAAAGUUGUUGCAGUUAAAAAGCUCGUAGUUGAAUUUUUGAUUCUUCCAAUUGGUCCAUCUUUUAGAUGAGUACUGGUUGUGUGGGGUCUAUCCGCCUGGUGAUACGUAAUGUCCUUUAUUGGAUGUUGCGGGUAGUCAGGACCUUUACCUUGAAAAAAUUAGAGUGUUUAAAGCAGGCUUAUGCCGGAAUACAUUAGCAUGGAAUAAUAGAAUAGGACGAAGUUGUUUUAUUUUGUUGGUUUCUAGGACAACCGUAAUGAUUAAUAGGGAUAGUUGGGGGCAUUAGUAUUCAAUUGUCAGAGGUGAAAUUCUUGGAUUUAUUGAAGACUAACUACUGCGAAAGCAUUUGCCAAGGAUGUUUUCAUUAAUCAAGAACGAAAGUUAGGGGAUCGAAGACGAUCAGAUACCGUCGUAGUCUUAACCAUAAACUAUGCCGACUAGGGAUCGGGCGAUGUUGUUUCCAUGACUCGCU
rnacentral:rRNA from 1 species